rnacentral:rRNA from 1 species
AUUGAACGCUAGCGGCAUGCCUUACACAUGCAAGUCGAACGAGUGGCGAACGGGUGAGUAAUGUAUCUGAACGUGCCCAGUAGCGGGGGAUGACGAUUGGAAAGAUAGCUAAUACCGCAUCCUGUGGGAUGGACCUGCGUGGUAUUAGCUAUUUGUUGGGUUAACGGCUCACCAAGGCGAGGAUCCGUAGCUGGUUGUAGAGGACGACCAGCCACACUGGGACUGAGACACGGCCCAGACUCCGACGGGAGGCAGCAGUGGGGAAUUUUGGACAAUGGGGGAAACCCUGAUCCAGCCAUCCCGCGUGUGCGAUGAAGGCCUUCGGGUUGUAAAGCACUUUUGGCAGGAAAGCGGUACCUGCAGAAUAAGCACCGGCUAACUACGUGCCAGCAGCCGCGGUAAUAC